rnacentral:rRNA from 1 species
GACGAACGCUGGCGGCGUGCUUAACACAUGCAAGUCGUACGGUAAGGCCCUUUCGGGGGUACACGAGUGGCGAACGGGUGAGUAACACGUGAGUAACCUGCCCACAACUUUGGGAUAACGCUAGGAAACUGGUGCUAAUACUGGAUAUGUGCUCCUGCUGCAUGGUGGGGGUUGGAAAGCUCCGGCGGUUGUGGAUGGACUCGCGGCCUAUCAGCUUGUUGGUGGGGUAGUGGCCUACCAAGGCGGCGACGGGUAGCCGGCCUGAGAGGGUGACCGGCCAAAUUGGGACUGAGAUACGGCCCAGACUCCUACGGGGGGCAGCAGUGGGGAAGAUUGCACAAUGGGCGCAAGCCUGAUGCAGCAACGCCGCGUGCGGGAUGACGGCCUUCGGGUUGUAAACCGCGUUCAGCAGGGACGAAGCUUUUUGUGACGGUACCUGCAGAAGAAGCACCGGCUAACUACGUG